AAAGGAUUUCAAACAGGGGGUGACAGGGGCAGAUGAAGGACCAACAAGAGCAGAGGCAGGAAAGAGAAAAGUCUAGAAAUAGCAACUCUGUGUGCUAUUUCUAGAACAGCACAGAAGGUGGUGCUGUAAGUGCAGUACAAGAGGAGCCAGAAAGGUAAGGAGGGACAAGACAGAAAGGCUAGGAUCAGAGCUCAAAUGGCAAAGAAGAGCAGCAGUGACUAUCUGGGUGGCUACUGCAAUAGUCCAAGCCAAAAGGAAGGGUGUGGGGAAGGCCUAGAGAAAGGGAAGAGAUGUAAAAUGGGCAGGACUUGAAGAGUAAGUAGGAAGAAGGAAGACCAUCAAAGAUGACUGAGAUCUGGAGCCUGGAGGUCUGGAGGGGGUGGUGAUUUCAUUGUCAUCAGAAAGAUGGGACACAAGAGGAGGGGUGGAUUCAGAGUUAGGAAAAUACUAAGUAAAGAUACCAAGGAGACAAGGUGAGGAGAAGUUCAGCAGAGAAUCAGAAAUGCAAUACUGGAGUCCCAGGCAGAGAAGCUAAUCUGGGAACCAGGCAUCAGGGGACAGCUGAAGGUGAGAUGAUCCUGGGAGGGAGAAGAGAGCGAGGUGAGGCCCUGGAGAAAUCCCACCCAACACUGCUGAGCGAGGGGAGGAGGAAGGGAGCUAGCAGGAGAGAAGAGUCUGGAAGGAGGAGGUGACUAAGAAGGCGCCACAUCACCACAGCCAAGAAGAAGCUCUUCCUGCUCACAAGUGAUCUUGAAAACGCUUUCUCAGACCUCAUAGGUUCAACCAGGCUCCUCUCCAAGACCAGCUGAAACAGAAGAGAGAAGGCCAACUUGAUGUAACCCAGCACAAUGGCCUGAAAGUGUUCCUCAGCUACUGGAUGGAGCAGACACGAGGGUGUGACAGUGAGGAAAGGGCUCAAAUACAAGAAAAAUUACAAGAAAAGAAGUAUUAACUAAAAGUGUGGCCACAUGUUGUACACCUUAAGCUAAUAUAAUCUUACAUGUCACUUAUACUUUAAUUAGAAAGAAAGAAGGAAAGAAAGAAAGAAAGAGAAAGAAAGAAAGAAAGAAAGAAAGAAAGAAAGAAAGAAAGUAACCAAAAGAUCUUUUAAGCUCCACACUUUCCUCCUGGGGAGCCCUCAAAGGAUGGGGAAAAAAAAGCAGAAGACAGAGGAGA